UAAAACAGGAGCAUCAUUGAAAGAUUAGGUGAGAAUUACAGGAAAAAGGUCAAAGCAGUGGAAAAGAUGAGAAUAAUGCUUUUUAUCUUCACUGAGUUUUAUUGAAAAUGAACACAGGAAUAGUUCAUUUUAAUAGACGUAAGGUGUGUAACAUACUUUCUUCAGUGUGUAUUGUAUUCUUUCCAAGGUAUGGAAAACCUAUGCAAGUUUACAUAAUCUUCUUGGCUUUGGUUGCAAACCUAUCUAGUAAGUCAUAGCAUUGCUAAUUGUUAAGCUGUUGCUGGGAGUUCCAUAAAUGUAGGAUACCCCCACGAUGACAGCAGCUUAGUGAGCAAUCUGCAUGUCCCAGUUAGUUAAUUUAUAUGAGAGCAGAAACAAUGGGAAAUGGAAGCAGAUAGAAGUCUUGGAGACACAUAAAGACCCUUUGUUAUUGCUUCACUCAUAAUUUGCUGAAAUGAAAGGACAUGAUGUAGUAUUUUGCAUAUGAAUGUUAAUGGCCUUUGAGGGUACCUUGGCACUGGUUUCUUCCUAUCUCUUUGCUGGUUUGAGGAAUGACUGGGUAAAGAUUCAACAGCAUAUUGUCACUAAAAAAAUAGAGCCACCACAAAAUCCCACCUUAACAUCUCUCAUCUGUGUACAACAAGAAUAUAUAGCUUGUGGUUAUAAAGGGAUGAAACAUGUUUGGGGCCUCGAUCCUGCAGAGUAUUUUGAAUGCCUUCUAUUCCAGGGCCUGACCAUGAGCUGCUUCUCAGGAUUAUUCCUUGCAUCAACACUGUUGUCAUUUUUUGCCCGCAUGUCAAGGAAGUGCCUGUGUGACCCAGCCCUGCCAAAGCUCAUGGCAAACUAUUUCUUUGGAUAAAAUCUGCCAAGGUCUAACGUGUAGUGAUAGUUGUCCAUGCUACUGAGGAAAUCAUGCAGGUCUGGUGUCUCCACAAGUAGAAUUUGUGAAAGAAUAAUCAGGAAGGUGAAACUGCAAAGCCUGGUAAGUUGUUUUAGCUUGCUCAGGUCACAAUAGCAUUGACAUUUCCAGUUCAAAAAUAGAGCAUUUGUGUGCAAGUCCACCAAUAGUUUGGGUGUUUCUCUUGACAAAAACACUAUUUGGAGAAACAGCCUGUGAAAACGCUUCCGAAUCUUUCCUGGAUUAUGGUUUCCUAUAGCCAGCAAGCAAGGGCCUGCCAGACUUCUUCACGCUUUAUCUAGAUUGCUGUACUGCUUCCUUAUUUGUUUUUAGACACAUGAAGACCAUGAAAUAGGCUAAUGGGAUGAUGUCAUUUGUGCAGGCUGUUCAGGAAGACAAGCGUAUCUAGAAGGUGAACUAGGCACGAAAGCAGCUAAAAGGGAAAGAAGAUAGAAUUGCACAUGUGGACUAAAGGCCAGUCAGGAGGGUAGAGAGAGCAUGAAGCUGAUCUACAGGAGAAUAAAGCCUCCUGCUCUAGAUGCUGCUGCAUAGUUUACUUUGUCCUGCUCCUGUGCCACAUCAUUCCUCUGCCAACAGAGGGAGGUGGCUGCAAAGUCCAGGUAACAGCAAAUUCUUUGUCACCCCACAUCUGGGUUUAAAGUACAAUAUGCAGGAGCUUUUCCCUUAAAAAAAUCAAUAAAAAUCCUUCCUCUCAGUGGUUCUUGCCAUACUGGCAGAGUCUGGGUUAAAGUUUUCUGUGCUCAGAUUUUAGUAUCUGUUACCUUUACCAGGAAAUCAUGACACUUCAAAAGGAAAAAAAGGAUCACCAUUUUUUUUGCUGUUUUUCAGCAGUUAACAAACAUGUAGCAAAUGCAUGUGUGCUUUUAUUGCACUCGCAUGCAGCCAUGUAUGAGUGCAAGGCAUUUCCUGGAGAUUAGUAACUGGGUGGAAAUGAUUGUGGAUACAAGAGGCAGCCCAAAGGACACAAACUGGUUGUUAAUCCAUGGGAGGCUUUCUGUGCUGAGACUUACUGUUGUAAAUUGAAAUAAAAGGGACACAGGCCUGUAGAGGAGAAGCAGAGAUUAUUGCCCUUUGAGCAAUGGGGUUGCUGGCUUUUCCCUCUGCUUCCCCAUCAGUUUGUGUGCUGCUUCAUUAGGAACACUACAGCUAGCAAAGAACUGAUAGGAAGGGCUUACUCCAGAUCCAUUAUUUUUGUGAACUGCUUGCUAUUAAUGGUUUGGAUUUAAUAUGGGAAAUCAAUAAAAUCCAAGUUUAAACUGAGUGCAGAUUGUGUAGGAGUUUGUGUCAUUGUAGCUAAAUUGUUUUAAAGAAGAUGGUUAUACCAAACCCCACAUACACCUUCGGGCAUACAGCUGUGUGGUGUAUGUAGAGCUCAGGCCUGCCUGUUUGACUAAGACUUAGUCGAACAACUCCAUCAGAACAAAGUCUCAGUGUUGUAGAAUUGAGCUUUAUGGUCGUUGCACAAUGAGAAGUUCUCUCUUGCAUCAUAGCUGCUGGGUCUUCAGCUGCUGUGACAUCAGGUAUGUAGGUUUAAAAUACCCAGUGGCUGUCCCCAGUAAGGAUUGCAGUGCUGUGUUUCAGUUUCUAAAGGAAGAGACUGAUGUUCAAAGCCACUGAACAGUUUAAGGUGGGAGAUUGCAGAAAUCCCUAUUUAAACUACAAUAAACCCAGAAAGCUCUGAAAUCUGUUUUCCCAGUUCCUCUUUCCCCAUGUCUGUUUUGCCUUUGAAGCAAUAAUGAAGAACUUACUCUCUCUACUGCUCUGUGAACAGAACUGAGUCACUCCAUUUCAGCUACAGGCACAUUUCUCAGACAAGGUGGUGAUUUCUCUUAGUUUCUAUUUUAUUUUCCUGUUUGAGGGUUUAUAAGAACACCAGCUGUCUGUGUAAGAAAUGCUUUUUACUCACACCUGCUCUUUGAAUUUGACAGGCAGAGUCCAGUAGGAACUUGUUGGCUUUCAUUAAACCACCUGGAAAAAUGUCAUCACCUGUUAAGUAGGUGCCAGCUUCCCCUCCAGCAUCAGUGCACUUUGAGCCCCUUCUGAUGCAGGUAGCAGUACCUUGCUUACCUUCUCACUACAAGAUUAUUGUUUUAAUUGAAGAUGAAGGAAUGACAAGAAUUGAAGCUGAGUGGCAGACAUUAAGACAAGUAUGCAGACUCCUACAGUGGAGGUGGCUCUUGACCUCAGCACUUCAGGAUGACUGAAAGCAGUUGCUUGGUCUGCUGCUCUCCAGAGUAAGUCAGCGUGUCCUUGUUUCAGCUCAGAUAGUUAAUUUUCCUCCUGGUAGCUGUGGUUUAGCUUUAGUCUGAACAUAAUGCUGAUAACACACCAGUGUCAACACUGUCAAGAGUUCUCACUACCACAUUGAGCUUUAUAUAUGUGGGAGGAAGGGUGCAAAGAGAAGCAUUGUCACCCAAUUGUGAGGAGCUCUUCCUAAAGCAAACCAGAAAGCUUUCUCAAAUGCCUGCACUUUCCAAUUCUAUCUUUGGGCAUAUGAGCUUCUGAAUGAUAACUUAUGGUUAAUAGGUUUAAUCUUUUAGGUGUUUUACACCUUCUGUGAUUUGUUACUUUGCUUUGAAACAACAUAUUUAAGUGUAAAAUGAUAGACUUGGAAAAGUCAAAGACACUGGGGCUGUCUGGUACCUGUUGCAUUGUGUGUAGUGCUUAUGUGAACCAUUAUUUUCCAUAGUACAUUGUACCUCUACCCACUGAGUGGGGAGAAAAGCUGGAGGGCAAAAAUGUUAUGCACAACAACUGAAUUUUAAUGAGAGAUGUGAAGCCAGUUCUCAGGGUAACAAUUGUCCAGUCCUCUGUCUGCUCAGUUUUUCUACCAGAAGAGAUUGUUGCUUGGAGAAUAACUUUAGGAAAAAACAGGAAAUAAUUCUUUAUGUGGGUUUUUG